GGUAUGAAACAAGAAGUGGAGCUUUAUGGUAACUUCAUCUAGAUUGACAUGGCUGGUUCUUGAAGUGAUGGAAGUUGCAGAGGCUGUCAUUCCAGAGAGAGACGUUAGAAACCUCUGAUAUAUGUAGCCCACCAGUACAGUGCACUCAGCUGCUUGCCAGAGUGUCCUUCUUUAGAGUUCGGACUUGUUUUGUAUGUGCGGUUGAGUUCUUGGCAACGUGGCUUCUUUGUUAUCAUAAUAUAUGCAUAUUUUUUGUGUUUUUUGUCUCAAAAUAUGGUGAGGGCCAGACACCAACAUACAGUUUUCCUCUCAUAUGAAUCUUCCCUUUCCACCAAAUAUCACCAAACCCUUCACUGGCCAUUGCUAUGCAUCACCAAACACAUUGCCUCUCUGUGUUAGAAAACGGGUGGGGCUUAUUCAUUCGAAGAUCGCUUGUCAGCCAAGGAAGAAAGGACUACAUUAUUGACAAGACAGCCAUGAGCAGUAGAUGAAGGCUACUAUUCAACUCGAAAGCCCUGGGGAAGUUUCUUGCAUUCUUGCUGAAAUAAUGGGAUAGGAUAUUAUUAUAACAGUGUACUUGCAAAAGCUUGAAACUCAUCCCUUAAGAAGGAAAGAUUUAGACUAUACAUUUGAAGUUUAGAGCCUAAUCCAACCAUUGUGCAGAAUAUUGUGUUUCAACGCCCUUAGUAGUUCCAGCAACCUGCAAUGAUGCUUGAGGGCAAAAUUCUUAAAGCAUCGAAGAAUUGGGCAGAGAGAAAUAUCCAAGUCAUUGUUGUUACUGAUGGUGAGUGUAUCUUCGGGCUUGGGGGUCUUGGUUGCCAGUUAUUGAUGCUCAUAAAUUCACUUACAAAUUGGAUGUGCAAACCACUUCUUAUCUCUUAAUGAUGCAAUGGUUUUACAUUCGUUAAGGAAUGGGGAUUCUGGUCGGAAAACUCUCUCAGUAGACAGCAUUAGGAGGAUUACUUCCCUCUGCAGUAAGGAUAAAUCUGCUAUCAAAUGUACAACAAUUUCAUAUAUUCAUUUUUCUUCUAUUAUUUAGACACACCUCAAUCACUGCUUUACUAGAGCUAUUAGGUGUCCCUUGCCAUUUAGUUACUAAAACCUUCCAACUGUAUUCAAUACAUACAGUGUUUGCUUGUAGCAAUUGAUGUUGGCACAAACAAUGAGAAGCUGUUGAAUGAUGAGUUCUA